rnacentral:rRNA from 1 species
UACGGAGGGAGCUAGCGUUAUUCGGAAUUACUGGGCGUAAAGCGCACGUAGGCGGCUUUGUAAGUUAGAAGUGAAAGCCUGGAGCUCAACUCCAGAACUGCCUUUAAGACUGCAUCGCUUGAAUCCAGGAGAGGUGAGUGGAAUUCCGAGUGUAGAGGUGAAAUUCGUAGAUAUUCGGAAGAACACCAGUGGCGAAGGCGGCUCACUGGACUGGUAUUGACGCUGAGGUGCGAAAGCGUGGGGAGCAAACAGG